AGGUAUGAUAUGUCCAAAUACAUUCUACUGACUAAAAAGAAAAAAAAAAGAAAAAAAAAAACAAGUUAAAAAAAUAAAAGUUGAUAGGGCAGUUUUUUAGUGACUGUGGUCAGGCAAUUGGUUGAGAAUCUGAGGGACUUGGGAGCCAGACAGUUCAUUUCCCUGAAUAAGAGAAAAUGAUCUCUUUUCUUUGAGCUAUUAAAAUCAUAGUAAACUAAAAUAUAUCAUAUUAUUUUGUAGCCCUAGUGGUUUUUGAAUGGCGCUAACGAUCAUGUAUUUUUCUUGCUUAUGGAUCAUCUCAUUUACAUCCGGUGGAGAUGUAAAUGUUCUUUGGUCCAUGCAAGGAAAAAGAAGGGAAUUCUGACUUCAGUAAAACCUAACUCAUCCCCCAAUUUAUUCAAAUCAUAUUUGAAAAAGAGAAAUGGAAUUAAGGGGGAUAAAUUUUAACAGUGCAAAGCCUCUGCUAGUAAAAGAUUAAGGGGUAUGUGGCUUAGCAUCUUUUAAUUAUUUUUUUUUUCUUUUUUGCAUCUUGAAUAUACAGUGUUUGAAAUCUCUGGUUGGAUCAACAUUAUUUUGCUCAGAGCAUGGACAGCUGGUCUUGAGAAUUAAAGAAAAUUCACUUGCUGACUGAGGAAGGAAGUGACAUCAAUGAGCUUCUAAAGUCAGCCCAGAGGGGGAAAUUGGCUUGUGAGAGAGUAGCCUUUCAAUGCACUGUAUUUAUCGAGCGAUGCCUUGAGAUGCAAAUUGCUGUAUCAAUCAAACCUAUGGUGCCUACCUCCAACCAACUCCGUGCAAACCGAAGGAACAAUGCCCUGAAACGCUGAGAAGAAAAAGGAUGAGGGGUGCAGGAACCCAGGGGCGAAGUGAAUUACGGGCGCUCAGGAUGCUGCCUGGCUCAGCUGAUACUUCAUUCUCUGUCAAGCCUCAGUUUCUUUGUCUAGAAAAUGAGUUUGAUGUAAACUGUUGGUUGAAGUCAGUCUGUUCCCGUGACGGAUGGGGAAGAAGACCGCGAACUAAUAGAUAUAGUGUAGACAUGUCAUCUUGCCACUUUUGUCCCAGAGAGAGCCAUCAAUUGCUUUUUAAUCUCCUAUUGAGGCUAUGUAGAUCCCUAGAGAUUCUUGGGUGUCACAUCAUGCUGCUACCUGGCUCUCUAGUACUUUUAAAUCUGUAUUUGCUGUUGACAGUGAAUCUGGACUUUCAAUAAUAAUGAUAAAAGGAAAACCAAUUAUCAUUGUUAUGGUCGUGAAUGAUGCAAGGCUCAUCAUGGGCAGAGAAUUCCCUGUCGCUGUUUUUCCAACACAGUUGUGUGAUUGGAUGGCGUGUGUGUGUGUGUGUGUGUGUGUGUGUGUGUGUGUGGUGUUGUGCACGCAUGCAUGUAGGAGGGUAGACAUACACACCUGUAUGAAAGACAGGCAGCAGGUAUGAUUUGUAGUUAUACGCUGGAAAAUUAAGUUGCUAAUUAUUUGUUUCCUACUCUGCUGCGUGUAAGGUGGCUACAGUAAUGGUUCAAUAACAGUUAAAAAUGGAGUCUGAGUUUAAAAUCUAGAGUCAUGGGAAUAACUCAGGCCAGGAAACAGGUGCAUGAGCUGGCUAAUGUUCUUUUUGUCUGUCCACAUAUUUGGGGCAUUCAGUUCAAUUUUCAAACUUUCAUGAUGUUAAAUAUGUUACUUGAACCAAUUUAAAAAUAUUGAUUAAAUUAAAAAAAGGUAUAAACUCUC